CCUACGGGUGGCUGCAGUGGGGAAUAUUGGACAAUGGGCGAAAGCCUGAUCCAGCCAUGCCGCGUGUGUGAAGAAGGCCUUCGGGUUGUAAAGCACUUUCAGUGGGGAAGAAAGCCUUGGGGCUAAUACCCUCGAGGAAGGACAUCACCCACAGAAGAAGCACCGGCUAACUCCGUGCCAGCAGCCGCGGUAAUACGGAGGGUGCGAGCGUUAAUCGGAAUUACUGGGCGUAAAGCGCGCGUAGGCGGUCUGAUAAGCCGGUUGUGAAAGCCCCGGGCUCAACCUGGGAACGGCAUCCGGAACUGUCAGGCUAGAGUGCGGGAGAGGAAGGUAGAAUUCCCGGUGUAGCGGUGAAAUGCGUAGAGAUCGGGAGGAAUACCAGUGGCGAAGGCGGCCUUCUGGACUGACACUGACGCUGAGGUGCGAAAGCGUGGGUAGCAAACAGGAUUAGAUACCCUGGUAGUC
rnacentral:rRNA from 1 species